rnacentral:rRNA from 1 species
CAGCCGCCACGGGAAUACGUAGGGUUCAAGCGCUAAUCGGAAUUACUGGGCGUAAAGCGUGCGCAGGCGGUUAUAUAAGUCAGAUGUGAAAUCCCCGGGCUCAACCUGGGAACUGCAUUUGAGACUGUAUGGCUAGAGUGUGUCAGAGGGGGGUAGAAUUCCACGUGUAGCAGUGAAACGCGCAGAUAUGUGGAGGAAUACCGAUGGCGAAGGCAGCCCCCUGGGAUAACACUGACGCUCAUGCACGAAAGCGUGGGGAGCAAACGGGAUUAGAUACCCGUGUAGUCCCUGUCUCUUAUAA